rnacentral:rRNA from 1 species
CAGUAGCCGCGGGAAUACGUAGGUGGCAAGCGUUGUCCGGAUUUAUUGGGCGUAAAGCGAGCGCAGGCGGUCAAUUAAGUCUGAUGUGAAAGCCCCCGGCUCAACCGGGGAGGGUCAUUGGAAACUGGUUGACUUGAGUGCAGAAGAGGAGAGUGGAAUUCCACGUGUAGCGGUGAAAUGCGUAGAGAUGUGGAGGAACACCAGUGGCGAAGGCGACUCUCUGGUCUGUAACUGACGCUGAGGAGCGAAAGCGUGGGGAGCGAACAGGAUUAGAUACCCCCGUAGUCCCUGUCUCUUAUAC